CAGUAGCCACGGUAAUACGUAGGUGGCAAGCGUUGUCCGGAAUUAUUGGGCGUAAAGGGCUCGCAGGCGGCUUCUUAAGUCUGAUGUGAAAGCCCCCGGCUCAACCGGGGAGGGUCAUUGGAAACUGGGAAACUUGAGUGCAGAAGAGGAGAGUGGAAUUCCACGUGUAGCGGUGAAAUGCGAAGAGAUGUGGAGGAACACCAGUGGCGAAGGCGACUCUCUGGUCUGUAACUGACGCUGAGGAGCGAAAGCGUGGGGAGCGAACAGGAUUAGAUACCCGGGUAGUCCCUGUCUCUUAUAC
rnacentral:rRNA from 1 species